UACGUAGGGUGCAAGCGUUGUCCGGAAUUAUUGGGCGUAAAGAGCUCGUAGGCGGUUUGUCACGUCGGAUGUGAAAACCCGAGGCUUAACCUCGGGCCUGCAUUCGAUACGGGCUGACUAGAGUUCGGUAGGGGAGACUGGAAUUCCUGGUGUAGCGGUGAAAUGCGCAGAUAUCAGGAGGAACACCGAUGGCGAAGGCAGGUCUCUGGGCAUUAACUGACGCUGAGGAGCGAAAGCAUGGGGAGCGAACAGG
rnacentral:rRNA from 1 species